rnacentral:rRNA from 1 species
AGGACGAACGCUGGCGGCGUGCUUAACACAUGCAAGUCGAACGGAAAGGCCCUUCGGGGUGCUCGAGUGGCGAACGGGUGAGUAACACGUGGGUGAUCUGCCCUGCACUUUGGGAUAAGCCUGGGAAACUGGGUCUAAUACCGAAUAUGACUACAUGCUUCCUGGUGUGUGGUGGAAAGCUUUUGCGGUGUGGGAUGGGCCCGCGGCCUAUCAGCUUGUUGGUGGGGUAAUGGCCUACAAGGCGACGACGGGUAGCCGGCCUGAGAGGGUGACCGGCCACACUGGGACUGAGAUACGGCCCAGACUCCUACGGGAGGCAGCAGUGGGGAAUAUUGCACAAUGGGCGCAAGCCUGAUGCAGCGACGCCGCGUGAGGAUGACGGUCCGUUCGGGUUGUAAACCUUCUUUCAGACACGAGACGUAAGCGUGAGUGACGGUAUGGUGACGAGAAAGGAACGGACCGGACC